ACCUGGAGGUAUAAGGCAUUUUAGGCACAUGUUCUCGAAUCCUACUUCCACAACCCAAGACAGAGAUCAAGUACCACGUCACUGACCCCAGAUUGGCGAGACUGCAGAACAGAGAUGGAAAGAGAGACAUACCUUCCAUAGACGUAGUAGAGGCCAAUCGGGUGUUUGUCGAAGCCUCGCUGUUGGAUUCAAGCUCUGACCCCGGCGAGCGGCGCUCUCGCCGGGCCGCAGCCUAUCGCUCCACCUCGGCCGUUCAGCUGCGAGGAUGUCAUCUUUCUUUUUUUAUCGCCCGCUCUCCCUCCUCCCUCCCUGUCUCUUUCUUCCUUUUCUUUUUUAAUUCCUCUUUCUUCUCCCCCUCCUCUCCUUUUUUCGCACCGCUAUGUCCCACUUGCUCUUAAAGGGAUAGGGUUUCCUCCUCGGACACCCCCCUCUCACUUCCGUCUCUCGGCGGAGUCCGUCCUCUCCCCUUCCUUCCUGGGUUUUGUCGGCCGACACAAAAUUCCCCCCCUCGCUGCUUUUUUUUUUUUCCUUCUUCUUCUUCUCUCUCGCUUUCCUCAAGCCGAACAAAUCUGCGCCGCAGAAAAACAGCCGGGAUGACUUUUCAUUAACGACGACAGACGCAUCUUAAAGGGAGGUGUCCACAGAGCCUCCAGCCUCAAUGGGAGUCAUGAUGUCAGAGCCACGAGCGGCACAGGACGAAUAGCAGCUCAGGAAAAUCACACAAUAGACGAAGAGAAAAACCAGCCAGGCCAAGAACAGGAAAGAGUGUUACUUUUAACAUUCACGCGCUCUUAAAUGUAAAAAUCCGACGAUUUUAUUUUAUUUUAUUUUUUUUAUUUAUUUAUGGCAAAUCAAACGUAUUUUUGUUUGAUAGUAGGACAACAUGAGACAAUUUCGAUCUGAUCAACCAAAAAAAUAACAGGAAGCAUUAAUAAUAUACAAUAAUUUAAACAACAACUGCUGUUUCUGCUUCUCAAAUGUGAAAAUCUAUUGAUUGUUGGUAAUUAAACGUGCUUUCAGCUGUUAAUUGAACAAGAGGAGACACUUCAACAUGUCAACAUGUGUUUGUUUGUUUUUCACAUUUUAAUCUGAUGAACCGAGAAAACAAAACAACAACAGGAAAUGUGUUGUUUCCUGCUUCUGUGCUGUAAAAAUGUCAUCAUUGGAUUAUUGUUAUUUUAUUAUUAUUAUUUUUAAUGUUAAUUGGACACUAGUAUGCCAGGAUGAUACUUUUAGUUCUUUUGGCACCCUGAAGAAGGCCUCCAAGUCAAAACGUUGGUCCUGCCUGCAGGCAUUUCAUUGAAAUAAGUUUUACUUCUACAUCGGAGCUACAGGUGACUCCAGUUUCUUUAGUAUUUAGUAUGAUACUUAUAAACAUUUUGAUCUGAUCAAUCAAGAAAACAAUCAGGGAAGAUUAAGUCAUAGAAGAAGACUAGAAGUCAUUAUAAAGCAACAAAAAAAAAAAAAAAAAAAAAAAAUUCAAGCUUGUGUGAUGUGAAAUGUGAUGAUUAUUGAAAAUGAAAUGAGUUGUCUACUAUUAGUUGGGCGCUAGUGUUAUGUUUUUAAACAUAAAAAUAAGAAAUAUUAAUAAUAUAUCAUAUAUUGAUAUUAUCAUAUCAUAUUAUCACAUAAUAUCAAUUUGAAGCAAAAUCUAUUGUUUUCAGUUUCUCAAAUGUGAAAAUUAGAUGAUUAUUGGAAUUUGUGUUUUUGAGGAUUAAUUGAACAAGAUGAGAUAUUAUAAUAAGUCAAUGUGUAUGUUUUUUUUAACAAUUUGAUCUGAUUGAAGAAGAUGAACUGUUUUGCCUCACCUUAACAGUUGCAGUAACACAUGUCUUAAUAAUAAUGAAACGUGAGUAAAGCACACCAAAUCAAGACAAGUUAAUGUGUUAAUAUCAAUUUAUUAUCUUUUUUAAAUCACUUUUUUAAAACACCCCAUUUCUUUUCCAAUACACGUGUGAACACCCCUCUCACCCCCUCCCUUUCUCAAGCUUCCAGUUGCUUGAUUUGAAUAUUUAAUAAGAAUUUCAACCCAACUUCCCUCCCCACCAAAACAAAACAAGAUAAAAUAAAAAGCAAAAAUCUGCAAAUCACAGAUGAGCCUGUGCUGCGUCUCCGUCCUCCAUCCAGACGUCUCUGCUCUAGCCACCGACCUCUGACACCGACAACAACCCACCUAGAAACACAACCACACUGAUUCCCACGCACAAUAGGCCAUACCCCCCUCCCCUCCCCAAGUCUUAGUUUAUAUAAGGAGUUUAUGCAUGCACUGAGAUUCCAACCAAGCAUAAAGUAGUAGGUUAUACAGGGAGUUGUCUUGAGCUGGUGUUUCUGAGUCAUACAAACAGCAAGGGUGAUUAUCGUUUCGUUUUUCUUUAAAUUAAUUAAUUAUUAAAUAAAAUAAAAAUGAAUAUGAAAAAAAAAA